CGGGUUGCUCCAGCAGUGAGGAAUAUUGCACAAUGGGGGGAACCCUGAUGCAGCAACGCCGCGUGGAGGAUGACGCAUUUCGGUGUGUAAACUCCUUUUAUAUGUCAAGAAAAUGACGGUAGCAUAUGAAUAAGCACCGGCUAACUCCGUGCCAGCAGCCGCGGUAAUACGGAGGGUGCAAGCGUUACUCGGAAUCACUGGGCGUAAAGGACGCGUAGGCGGGUUGGAAAGUCAGGUGUGAAAUCCUACAGCUUAACUGUAGAACUGCACUUGAAACUUCUAAUCUAGAGUAUGGGAGGGGGAGAUGGAAUUAGUGGUGUAGGGGUAAAAUCCGUAGAUAUCACUAGGAAUACCUAAAGCGAAGGCGAUCUCCUGGAACAUUACUGACGCUAAGGCGUGAAAGCGUGGGGAGCAAACAGGAUUAGAUACCCUAGUAGUC
rnacentral:rRNA from 1 species